GAUGAACGCUGACAGAAUGCUUAACACAUGCAAGUCUACUUGAACUUCGGUUUGGGUGGCGGACGGGUGAGUAACGCGUACAGAACUUGCCUCACAGUUAGGGACAACAUUUGGAAACGAAUGCUAAUACCUGAUAUUAUGAUUUUAGGGCAUCCUAAGAUUAUGAAAGCUAUAUGCACUGUGAGAGAGCUUUGCGUCCCAUUAGCUAGUUGGAGAGGUAACGGCUCACCAAGGCGAUGAUGGGUAGCCGGCCUGAGAGGGUGAACGGCCACAAGGGGACUGAGACACGGCCCUUACUCCUACGGGAGGCAGCAGUGGGGAAUAUUGGACAAUGGACCAAAAGUCUGAUCCAGCAAUUCGGUGUGCACGAUGACGUUUUUCGGAAUGUAAAGUGCUUUCAGUUGGGAAGAAAAAAAUGACGGUACCAACAGAAGAAGUGACGGCGAAAUACGG
rnacentral:rRNA from 1 species